GAUGAACGCUGGCGGCGUGCCUAAUACAUGCAAGUCGAGCGAAUGGAUUAAGAGCUUGCUCUUAUGAAGUUAGCGGCGGACGGGUGAGUAACACGUGGGUAACCUGCCCAUAAGACUGGGAUAACUCCGGGAAACCGGGGCUAAUACCGGAUAACAUUUUGAACCGCAUGGUUCGAAAUUGAAAGGCGGCUUCGGCUGUCACUCAUGGAUGGACCCGGUUCGCAUUAGCUAUUUGGUGAGGUAACGGCUCACCAAGGCAACGAUGCGUAGCCGACCUGAGAGGGUGACCGGCCACACUGGGACUGAGACACGGCCCAGACUCCUACGGGAGGCAGCAGUAGGGAAUCUUCCGCAAUGGACGAAAGUCUGACGGAGCAACGCCGCGUGAGUGAUGAAGGCUUUCGGGUCGUAAAACUCUGUUGUUAGGGAAGAACAAGUGCUAGUUGAAUAAGCUGGCACCUUGACGGUACCUAACCAGAAAGCCACGGCUAACUACGUGCCAGCAGCCGCCGUAA
rnacentral:rRNA from 1 species